GGUACUGUUGCUUAGUCCAGUGCCUGAAAGAGAGCCUGGACUGAAGCAGAUUCAGUAUUACUGGUAACUUGAUCAUACUUAGGAUAAGCUACAUGAAUAAAGUUGAAUAAACUUGUUUAUAAGGUGAAGACAGAAGGAAUUGUUGUCUUGUGCACCUGUGGGGAGCCUUAAAGGCUACUGCUCCUGGAAACCUAAUGAUUGUUGCAGAGCUGAUAGAACACAGUGAAAAACUACAUUUAAAUCAAUUGUUUGAAAUCUUCUGUCUGGAGGGUGUUGCUUUCAGGACUGCUUCACUGGAGUCAAUAGUGGUACAUUAGAAAAGUGGUUCAGAUCAGAACUCAACUAAAAUCAUCAUUUUAAGGUGACUUGGACUUACAAGUAACAAAUAGGACAUGUCUUUAAAUCUGUUGAAAAAUCCAAAAACUACUCAACUGGUGACCAGCAAGAGUUUGGAACUGGAAUGAACAUUUACUGGUUUCCUACUGGAUACUCAGCAGCUGUAUCUUACAAGGACUCCAAGACACAAGACCCCUGAUUCUCUCUCUACAAACCUUUAACCGAG